AUACGGAGGACGCGAGCGUUAUCCGGAUUUAUUGGGUUUAAAGGGUGCGUAGGCGGUUUGCUAAGCGGGAGGUGAAAUGCCGGCGCUCAACGUCGGAAGUGCCUCCCGAACUGGUGGACUUGAAUGACUCUGCCGUGGGAGGAAUGUGUAGUGUAGCGGUGAAAUGCUUAGAGAUUACACAGAACACCGAUUGCGAAGGCAUCUCACGAAGGGUUGAUUGACGCUGAGGCCCGAAAGCGUGGGGAUCAAACAGGAUUAGAUACCCUGGUAGUCCACGCCGUAAACGAUGAUGACUAACCGUCGGCGAUACACAGUCGGUGGCCAAGCGAAAGCGAUAAGUCAUCCACCUGGGGAGUACGUUCGCAAGAAUGAAACUCAAAGGAAUUGACGGGG
rnacentral:rRNA from 1 species